UAGGGAAUCUUCCACAAUGGGCGCAAGCCUGAUGGAGCAACACCGCGUGAGUGAAGAAGGGUUUCGGCUCGUAAAGCUCUGUUGUUAAAGAAGAACACGUAUGAGAGUAACUGUUCAUACGUUGACGGUAUUUAACCAGAAAGUCACGGCUAACUAUGUGCCAG
rnacentral:rRNA from 1 species